UGCUAACGGAUGAGGGUUCAGUCAGGCCUU
rnacentral:piRNA from 1 species